CAGCCUUCCAUCAUCACGGACCCAGGAAAUCUUGCCUUCCUUCUUGGAAGCAAAUAAAACUCCAAAAGAAGGAGAGGGGGAGUUGUACAUCAAAUAAACUUUAGAUCACGACCAAGUUUUGAGAGAUCAGGGACUCUAUGGAGGGGGUGCUCCCAGACCUCAGCAAAUUGUCCUGUUGGUUUGAGCCAUAAGGUUAGCUCAUGGUGCUACCAAGCACCAAUAGAUCUGUCAAAGGUCAGGGGUACCUCAACUCAGAAUCCCUCCAUGGUUACCAAAAUGUGAACCCCCCAAAUCUGAGACAGGUCUCAGUUAAUUUAGAAAGUUUAUUGUUCCAAGGUUGAAGAUGCACACCCGUGACACAGCCUCAGGAUGUCCUGACGACAUGUGCCAAGGUGGUCAUACGUUUUAGGGAGACAUGAGACAUCAAUCAACACAUGUAAGAUGAACAUUGGUUCAGUCUGGAAAAGGCCGGGCAACGCCAAGCAAAUGUGGGACAACUCGCAGCCAGGAGAAAGCUUCCAGGUCACAGGUGGGUGAGAGACAAAGGUCGCAUUCUUUUGAGUUUCUGAUGGGCCUUUCCAAAGAAGGCAAUCAGAUAUGCAUCUAUCUCAGUGAGCAGGGGGUGAUUUUGAAUAGAAUGGGGGGCAGGUCGGCCCUAAGCCAUUCCCGGCUUGACUUUCCCCUUUAGCUUAGUGAUUUUGGGGGCCCAAGAUUUAUUUUCCUUUCACAAAACAAUAAACAUAACAAAUAAGUGAAUUAUAGAAAGGUGAAAACUAUGGAAAAAAAAGAAAAACAGAGAGAAAGAAUCCUGAACACUGACGUGGGGAGGGCAGGUGCCAGCUGCAGUACUAAAUAGCAGAGGGGAGGGCAGGUGCCAGCUGCAGUACCAAAUACUGGUGUGGGGAGGGCAGGUGCCAGCUGCAGUGCGUGGGGAGGGCAGGUGCCAGCUGCAGUACUAAAUAGCGGGGGAAGAUUUUUUUCUGAGCAACUUUGAGUCACUGCUCACAUCUCAUGCCAAUGUAUUAAUCCCAAGUCAAGGGUCAGAUGAGGCACUCGGAUCUCUCCAGUUGCCAACACAGCUCUUCCAAGUGUACUUUACUUCCUUUCAUUCCUGCUCUAAAACUUUAUUUAUGUAUUUAUUUUUGAGACAGAAUCUUGCUCUGUCGCCUAGGCUGGAGUGCAGUGGCACAAUCCCAGUUCACUGCAACCUCUGCCUCUGGGAUCAGGCAAUUCUCCUGCCUCAGCUUCCUAAGCAGCUGGGAUAACAGGCGUGCACCACCGUGCUUGGCUAAUUUUUUUUUUCUUUUUUCGUAUUUUGAGUAGAGAUGGGGUUUCACCAUAUUAGCCACGAUGGUCUCGUACUUCUGACCUCAGGUGAUCCACCUGCUUUAGCCUCCCAAAGUGCUGGGAUUACAGGUGUGAGCCACCACGCCCAGCCCUGGCCAACUUUUGUUUUUUUUGAGACAGAGUUUCAUUCUUAUUGCCCAGGCUGGAGUGCGAUGGCCCAAUCUUGGCUCACUGCAACCUCUGCCUCCCAGGUUUGUAGGAUAUAAUAAAUUCUUCUUCAAAGGUUUUAGCCUGUAAAUUGUUAAGUACAAUGAGUUCUGAGAUCCUCUCCAAAGAAUCAAUGUAUCAGUAUGUUCAGCUCUUCAUUUUAAAGUUUAACUUCCUCGUUUUCUUCAUCUCCUUGCCCCUAGUUUCAGUAAACAACCCCCUCCUAGCCUCUAUCACCUGCUCCAUCCUGAGUCACCCCCAGUCACCUGCUCUAAUCUGAGUCAUCCUGAGUCAACAGGGUUUCACCAUGUUGGCCAAGUUGGUCUCGAACUCCUGACCUCAUGUGAUCCGCCCACCUCAGCCUCCCAAAGUGCUGGGAUUACAGGUGUAAGCCAUCGUGCCUGGCCAGUUUUCACUUUAAAAUGAUCUCUAAUACCAACUCUUGGGGUCCGAAUGGGUCCCCACUGGUUUCAAAUGUUGAGCAUGCACAGAUUAUGUGGAUGAGAACUUGCCAGGUGGGCUUACCGAAGGAGACGUGGUAAGAAUCGCCUACAUCUGCCAGGCCCUGAGGACAGGCCCUCUCCACACCGAGGCUUAUUUCCUUGGGUUGCAGAAGAGGAAACGCCAGGGAGCCCAGUAUUCUUUGGUUCAUUCACUUCUUUUUUAUGUUGUAACCUACAUACUGUAAACUACGCCCAGCUUAAGUAGCGUAUACCCUGAUGAAUUUUUAUGUACGUAUGUAUCCCCAGGAUGUAUCCGACACUCAGGUCAAGAUACAGAACGUGCUCAGCACCUCAACAGGUGCCCUUGUGUUCCCUUCCAGUCAAGCCCCCACUUGCCACCACAGAAUGGAACAAUCAUUUUUUUUUUUUUUUUAGAGACAGGGUCUCGCUCUGUCUCCAAAGCUGGAGUGCAGCUCCAUCAUGGUUCACUGCAGCCUCCGCCUCCCGGGUUUGAGCGAUCCUCCCAUUUCAGUGUAACCACCAUUCUUAUCUCUAUCACCAUAGAUUAGCUCUGCAUGUCUUUGAACUUCAUAUAAAUGGAAUCAUGCAUAGAUAGGCUCUUUUGUGUCUGGAUUCUCUCUGUUAACACUGUGUCUGUGAGACUCACUCACGCUGUGUGUAGUAUUAUGCUUCAUCCUUUUUUGUUGUUGCAUAGUAUUCCACUGUAUAAAUAUACCACAAUUUAUUUGUCUGUUUUCCUAUUGCUGUGCAUUUGGAUUGUUUUGUUUUUCACUAUUUUGAAUAAAGCUGCUAUGAACAUCCUUGUGUAUGUCUUGGGUAUACAGAUGGUCCUGGCUUACAAUGAUUGGAUUUAAAAUUGUUUGACUUUAUGAUGGGCUUAUCAGGGUAUUAAAUGUGUUUCUGACUUACAGUAUUUUUGACUUACCACGUGUUUAUUGGGACGUAACCCCUUCCUAAGAUGAAGAGCAUCUGUAUACAUCCAGAAUCCUGUGGAGCAACUCAUAACCCAUGAGGAAUGGAAGCCGACAGACAGACUCAUCCCCAGGACAGGUGGUUCUCACUACAUCUCAUAAAGCUUCUUAGAAGAUCUUACAGGAUUGAGCAACCAGCCAGCCACAGCAGGGGCCAACUGGAUAACACGUCUUUGCAUAGGCUCUCCCUCUGUCCCUGUCACCCUCCCCUUUUCCUAACCUUGUUCCUUGGGAUUAUGUUUUGAAAUAAAUUAUUCAGAGAAAUGAAGCCAAAGCUGACCCAUUAGCCAAUAGCUAGGUUCUGUGAUGACAGAGCUUCUGGGCUAUAAUCGUUUACUGAGAAGCCAGCGUUCCUGAGGGGAUAAUGGCUCGUUCCAUUCAGCUGCAGCAUAGGAGUGAGGGCAGGGCAUUAGCAGAAGAUAACACCAGAAACGUGCUCUGGGGCCUGUUGAUGACUUUCUGUGCCAAGCACAGACAUUUAGCCUUUAUUCUGUAUGUGAUGGGAAGCCAGUGCCAGUGGUGGGUUUGAGCAGGGAACCAGCAACCAGUGGUGGGUUUGAGCAGGGAACCAGCAAUACUCAAGCUCUGCUUGGAUGGAGGCCAGUCAGGGAGGAGUUAGGGCAGGAGGACCAGUCAGGGAGGAGACUUAGGGCAGGAGGACCAGUCAGGGAGGAGACUUAGGGCAGGAGGACCGGUCAGGGAGGAGACUUAGGGCAGGAGUACUGGUCAGGGAGGAGACUUAGGGCAGGAGGACCGGUCAGGGAGGAGACUUAGGGCAGGAGGACCGGUCAGGGAGGAGACUUAGGGCAGGAGGACCGGUCAGGGAGGAGUUAGGGCUGGAGGACGGGUCAGGGAGGAGACUUAGGGCAGGAGGACCGGUCAGGGAGGAGUUAGGGCUGGAGGACCGGUCAGGGAGGAGUUAGGGCAGGAGGACGGGUCAGGGAGGAGUUAGGGGAGGAGGACUGGUCAGGGAGGAGUUAGGGCUGGAGGACCGGUCAGGGAGGAGUUAGGGCAGGAGGACCGGUCAGGGAGGAGUUAGGGCUGGAGGACCGGUCAGGGAGGAGUUAGGGCAGGAGGACCGGUCAGGGAGGAGUUAGGGCAGGAGGACCGGUCAGGGAGGAGACUUAGGGCAGGAGGACUGGUCAGGGAGGAGUUAGGGCUGGAGGACCGGUCAGGGAGGAGUUAGGGCAGGAGGACUGGUCAGGGAGGAGUUAGGGCAGGAGGACAGGUCAGGGAGGAGACUUAGGGCAGGAGGACCGGUCAGGGAGGAGACUUAGGGCAGGAGGACUGGUCAGGGAGGAGUUAGGGCAGGAGGACCGGUCAGGGAGGAGUUAGGGCAGUAGGACAGGUCAGGGAGGAGUUAGGGCAGGAGGAUCGGUCAGGGAGGAGUUAGGGCAGGAGGACCGGUCAGGGAGGAGUUAGGGCAGGAGGACCGGUCAGGGAGGAGUUAGGGCAGGAGGACAGGUCAGGGAGGAGACUUAGGGCUGGAGGACUGGUCAGGGAGGAGUUAGGGCAGGAGGACCAGUUAGGAGGCAGUGACUUAGGACUUCAGCAGUGGCACUAGAAAGGGGAUGGAUAUGAACGACAUUGCAAAGUAAAACUAGAGAGACGGCCGGGCACAGUGGCUCACUCCUGUAAUCCCAGCACUUUGGGAGGCCAAGGCGGGUGGAUCAUGAGGUCAGGAGAUCGAGACCAGCCUGGCCAACAUGGUGAAACCCUAUCUCUACUAGAAAAAAAAAAAAAUAGCCAGGCGUGGUGGCGGGCGCCUGUAAUCCCAGCUACUCCAGAGGCUGAGGCAGGAGAAUUUGCUUGAACCAGGGAGUCGGAAGUUGCAGUGAGCUGAGAUCGCACCACUGCACUCCAGCCUGGGCAAUAGAGUGAGACUCCGUCUCAAUAACAAAACAAACAAACAAAAACCUAGAGAGACUUGGCACCUUGCAGAGAGAAGCAAAAGAUGACCCUGAGGUCUGGAGUCCAGGAAGCCAAGGACAGCAAAAGCAUCCACAGAAACAGGAAAAGGGCAGGUGUGGGAGGGAAGGUGAGAGGUUCAUCAGACCUCACAGCCCCUGGCAGCGCCUCCUGGAUCUUUGAAAUCCUGUGCACCCCAGGAGACUCCGGGAGGCCCAUCUGAGCUCACCGGAGACAGGUCUGCCGUCUCUCCUCUCAUCACUGGGGACAGAAAGCCUGAACAUGAGGCCUGGACUACGGGGCUCAGACCAGAAUAUUUCCAGACUUAAGGGCAGUAAUGUGGAGCCCAGGAAGGAAUAUUGAGGACAGAGGGCACAUUACUUAGCUCAAGGGGUGCUGGGUUCUUAUUUUCUACUUUCAAGAAAUGUUUGCUAUAGUCACUGUAACCACCACAAAACAGUGAAUAAUACCAUGAGCCAAAUGUAUGUUUCACAAUUUGUAUGGCUGAUUCUACGCACAUUUAAAUGUGUUUAUGACAAUUGUAGAUUUCGGUUUUCCUCUGG
rnacentral:lncRNA from 1 species